rnacentral:rRNA from 1 species
CCUACGGGGGGCAGCAGUGGGGAAUCUUGCGCAAUGGACGAAAGUCUGACGCAGCAACGCCGCGUGAGGGACGAAGGCUUUCUGGUUGUAAACCUCUUUCGACAGGAACGCGGUACCUGUAGAAGAAGCACCGGCCAACUAUGUGCCAGCAGCCGCGGUGAUACAUAGGGUGCAAGCGUUAUUCGGAUUUAUUGGGCGUAAAGAGCUCGUAGGCGGUUCAAUAAGUGACGUGUUAAUCCCCCAGGCUUAACCUGGGGCCGCACGUCAAACUGUUGGACUAGAGUUUGGUAGGGGAUCACGGAAUUCCUGGUGUAGCGGUGGAAUGCGCAGAUAUCAGGAGGAACACCAGUAGCGAAGGCGGUGAUCUGGGCCAAACUGACGCUGAGGAGCGAAAGCGUGGGGAGCGAACAGGAUUAGAUACCCUUGUAGUC